rnacentral:rRNA from 1 species
AGCGAACGCUGGCGGCAGGCUUAACACAUGCAAGUCGAGCGCCCCGCAAGGGGAGCGGCAGACGGGAGAGUAACACGUGGGGACAUACCUUUUGGUUCGGAACAACUGAGGGAAACUUCAGCUAAUACCGGAUAAGCCCUUACGGGGAAAGAUUUAUCGCCGAACGAUUGGCCCGCGUCUGAUUAGCUAGUUGGUGAGGUAACGGCUCACCAAGGCGACGAUCAGUAGCUGGUCUGAGAGGAUGAUCAGCCUCACUGGGACUGAGACACGGCCCAGACUCCUACGGGAGGCAGCAGUGGGGAAUAUUGGACAAUGGGGGCAACCCUGAUCCAGCCAUGCCGCGUGAGUGAUGAAGGCCUUAGGGUUGUAAAGCUCUUUUGCCCGGGAAGAUAAUGACGGUACCGGGAGAAUAAGCCCCGGCUAACUUCGUG